rnacentral:rRNA from 1 species
CAGUAGCCACGGUAAUACGAAGGUCCCGAGCGUUGUUCGGAAUCACUGGGCGUAAAGGGAGCGUAGGCGGCGUGGUAAGUCAGAUGUGAAAUCCCGGGGCUCAACCCCGGAACUGCAUCCGAUACUGCCAUGCUAGAGGAUUGGAGAGGUAGCUGGAAUUCUUGGUGUAGCAGUGAAAUGCGUGGAGAUCAAGAGGAACACUCGUGGCGAAAGCGAGCUACUGGACAGUAACUGACGCUGAGGCUCGAAGGCCAGGGUAGCGAAAGGGAUUAGAUACCCCAGUAGUCCCUGUCUCUUAUAC